rnacentral:rRNA from 1 species
UACGUAGGGGGCAAGCGUUGUCCGGAUUUAUUGGGCGUAAAGAGCUCGUAGGUGGUUCGGUAAGUCGGAUGUGAAAUCUCCAGGCUCAACCUGGAGGGGUCAUUCGAUACUGCCGUGACUAGAGGUCGGUAGGGGAGUGUGGAAUUCCUGGUGGAGCGGUGAAAUGCGCAGAUAUCAGGAGGAACACCCGUGGCGAAAGCGGCUCUCUGGAACGGUACUGACGCUGAGACGCGAAAGCGUGGGGAGCGAACAGG